rnacentral:rRNA from 1 species
UACGUAGGGGGCAAGCGUUGUCCGGAUUUAUUGGGCGUAAAGAGCGUGUAGGCGGCCGCACAGGUCCGUUGUGAAAACUGGAGGCUUAACCUUCAGACGUCGAUGGAAACCGUGCGGCUAGAGUCCGGAAGAGGAGAAUGGAAUUCCUGGUGUAGCGGUGAAAUGCGCAGAUAUCAGGAGGAACACCUGUGGUGUAGACAGCUUACUGGACCACUUCUGACGCUGAGACACGAAAGCGUGGGUAGCAAACAGG